GGGAUACGCACGCGUGGUGGACUGCCGAGGCCAAUACGGCGACAGCGAAGAGGAAGCCGGUGCGAAUCCGGCGCGGUCCCGCCACUGUGACGGGAGACGGUCAAGUCUCCCGGAGCCAGGAACUCUUGUCGCCGCAUCACGUCGAAC
rnacentral:ncRNA from 2 species